GUCAAACAAAAAAAGGCUUACGGUGGAUACCUAGGCACUCAAAGACGAUGAAGGGCGUGGUAACCAACGAAAUGCUCCGGGGAGCUGGACACAAGCUUAUCCGGAGAUUCCCGAAUAGGGCAACCUUUUGCACUACCUGUUGAAUUCAUAGACAGGAGAGAGAAAACCCGGUGAAUUGAAACAUCUCAGUAGCCGGAGGAAGAGAAAGCAACCGCGAUUCCCCUAGUAGCGGCGAGCGAACAGGGAACAGCCUAAACCUAGAUCAGCUGUAAAGUAAUCUAGGUGUUGUGGGAAGAUAUAUUGUUAUAGGGGUCAUAGAGUUAGAUGAAGCAGCUGAAUCCUGCACCAUAGAUGGUGAAAGUCCAGUAAUCGAAAACUUUAUUUGGUUUAUUCAAAAUAGAAUAAAUAGUUGGAGGUUAAUUGGCUUUGUAGAAACUUCUUUGUUUUUUUUUCUUUAUUUUUCUUUUUUUUUGUUGAAUAGAAUAUUUAACCAAAGGGGGAGCGUAGAGGAAUAAAAGCAUUUUAUAGCACAAAGUUUUACCUUUUAAACUACCUCCAUAUCUUAUCCCAAGUAGCAUGGGGCACGUGUAAUCCCGUGUGAAUCCGCGAGGACCACCUCGUAAGGCUAAAUACUCUUGAGUGACCGAUAGUGAAUGAGUACCGCGAGGGAAAGGUGAAAGAGAACCCUGAAACCCUUUAUGGAGAGGGGAGUGAAAAAGAACAUGAAACCGUAAGCUAACAAUCAGUGGGAGGUUUGAAUAAAAACUGACCACGUGCCUGUUGAAGAAUGAGCCGGCGACUUAUGGGGAGUGGCUUGGUUAAAGAUAUAUUUCUGGAGCCGAAGCGAAAGCAAGUCCUUACAGGGCUAUUUUCUUAGGAAAGUGUCACUUUUCAUAGACCCGAACCCGGGUGAUCUAACCAUGGCCAGGAUGAAGCUUGGGUAAUACCAAGUGGAGGUCCGAACUCGUCGAUGUUGAAAAAUCGUGGGAUGAGCUGUGGUUAGGGGUGAAAUGCCAAUCGAACUCGGAGCUAGCUGGUUCUCCUCGAAAUGCGUUGAGGCGCAGCGGUUGUGGAAGUUUUAAACAAGGGCUGUCUAGGGGUAAAGCACUGUUUCGGUGCGGGCUGCGAAAGCGGUACCAAAUCGUGGCAAACUGAGAAUACUAGGCAAUGCCUUCCCACAACCAGUGGGACUGUGGGGGAUAAGCUCCAUUGUCAAAAGGGAAAGAGCCCAGAUCACCAGCUAAGGCCCCAGAAUAAUCGCUUAGUGGUAAAGGAGGUAAGGGUGCUAAAACAGCCAGGAGGUUUGCUUAGAAGCAGCCACCCUUUAAAGAGUGCGUAAUAGCUCACUGGUGGAGCGCUCUCGCGCCGAAAAUUUACGGGGCUAAGCGAUUUGCCGAAGCUGUGGGUUUAUGUACUAUCCUAUUUAGGAUUCUUCUAUGUUUAUUUAUUUACAUAGAGUGUGGACUUUAUUAAAUCGAAGAUUUAAUAAAAGCGUCAAUAAAAUUGCAUAUACGGUAGAGGAGCGUUCCGCGUUAGGGUGAAGCAAGGGCGAAAGCGUUUGUGGACAAGGCGGAAGUGAGAAUGUCGGCUUGAGUAACGUAAACAUUGGUGAAGAAUCCAAUGCCCCGAAAACCUAAGGGUUCCUUCACUAGGCUCGUCCAUGGAGGGUUAGUCAGGGCCUAAGGUUAGGCCGUUAGGCGUCGCCGAUGGGCAACAGGUCAACAUUCCUGUACUGCUUUUAGUUGAUACCGAGGGACGAAACAAUAGUUGACCAACCAGUGUUGGGGUCUGGUUAGGUAAUUUUGCAUAAAAAUAAAGAAGAAAAACUGUAUUUUUAGCAAAAUUCCUGAAUAAAGUUCAGGUUAGUGGUUGUUUUCCAAGAAAAGCUCGAACUAUCAUAAGCUAAAAGUACCUGUACCUGAAACCGACACAGGUAGGUAGGUAGAGAAUACUAAGGGGCGCGAGACACCUCUCUCUAAGGAACUCGGCAAAAUGGCUCCGUAACUUCGGAAGAAGGAGCACCUGCGAGAGCAGGUCGCAGUGACCAGGCCCAGGCGACUGUUUACCAAAAACACAGGUCUCCGCUAAGUCGUAAGACGAUCCAUGGGGGCUGACGCCUGCCCGGUGCCGGAAGGUAAAGGAAGCUGGUUAUUUUUGGGCUUUGCCCUUGGAGAAGCUGGCAACCGAAGCCCCGGUGAACGGCGGCCGUAACUCUGACGGUCCUAAGGUAGCGAAAUUCCUUGUCGGGUAAGUUCCGACCCGCACGAAAGGCGUAACGAUCUGGGUACUGUCUCGGAGAGAGACUCGGUGAAAUAGACAUGUCCGUGAAGAUGCGGACUUCCUACACCUGGACAGAAAGACCCUAUGAAGCUUUACUAUAACCUGGGAUUGGGUCUGGGCUCCUUUUGCGCAGCUUAGGUGGGAGGCUGAGAAACUUUUCUUUCGGGAAGGUGGAGCCAACAGUGAGAUACCACUCUGAAGGAGCUAAGGUUCUAAAGGUGUUCCUUGAAUCAGGACGCCUAACAGUUCCAGGCGGGUAGUUUGUCUGGGGCGGACACCUCCUAAAAGGUAACGGAGGUGUGCAAAGGUUCCCUCAGGCUGGACGGAAAUCAGCUGUAGAGUGUAAAGGCAUAAGGGAGCUUGACUGCAAGACCUACAAGUCGAGCAGAGGCGAAAGCCGGCCUUAGUGAUCCGACGGUGCCGUGUGGAAGGGCCGUCGCUCAACGGAUAAAAGUUACUCUAGGGAUAACAGGCUAAUCGAGCCCAAGAGUUCACAUCGACGGCUCGGUUUGGCACCUCUAUGUCGGCUCAUCGCAACCUCGAGCUGUAGUCGGUUCGAAGGGUUGGGCUGUUCGCCCAUGAAAGCGGUACGUGAGCUGGGUUCAGAACGUCGUGAGACAGUUUGGUCCAUAUCCGGUGUAGGCGUUGGAGCAUUGAGGGGAGCCUUCCAUAGUACGAGAGGACCUGGAAGGAUGUACCUCUGGUCUACCAGUUCUUCUACCAAGGGGAUACGCUGGGUAGCCAUGUACAGAGUGGAGAACUGCUGAAAGCAUCUAAGUAGGAAGCCCACCCCAAGAUGAGUGCUCCCCUAGAGGUCACGGCAAGAGAAGCCGUUUGAUAGGUAGCAGGUGGAAGGCUAGCAAUGGUUGCAGCCGAGCUACACUAAUAGACCCAUCGAGUUUGAC
rnacentral:rRNA from 1 species